rnacentral:rRNA from 1 species
AGCAGGACGGUGGCCAUGGAAGUCGGAAUCCGCCAAGGAGUGUGUAACAACUCACCUGCCGAAUGAAUUAGCCCUGAAAAUGGAUGGCGCUUAAGCGGGUGGCCGACACCACACCGUCUGGUAAAUGUUAUGUGAUCAGAUGAGUAGGAGGGCGUGGCGGGUGUGUCGAAGCGUGCAUGCAGAUGCGCGUGGAACAGCCGCUAGUGCAGAUCUUGGUGGUAGUAGCAAGUAUUCAAGCGAGAUCCUUGAAGGGCGAAGCGGGGAAGGGUUCCACGCGAACAUUGAUUGGGCGUGGGUGAGUCGUUCCUAAGCCGAGUGGCAAUUGCUAAGUAGCGGCGAAAGGGAAGCGGGUUGACAUUCCCGCACACGGAUGUGGAGGCGGUGACGCGCAUUGGGGCGAACACGCUGGCGACGGCGCUGGGCAGAGUUGUCUUUUCUGUUUGACCUACUUAGCGUGCUGUGUGGAAUCCGCUUGUUGGGAGAAACACGCACGUUGGGGCAGAGCGCCGGGGCUUUUCCGGCGUCCAGCUCGCCGUCGACGGCCCUUGAAACUUUGCCUGCUGAUAUUCUUUGUUGAAUUUAAGAUCCACGCCGUGGCGUACCGAUCACCGCAUCAGGUCCCCAAGGUGAACAGCCUCUGCUCAGUAUGAAAAAUGCAGGUAAG